UUUGCAUGGUUUCAGCUGUUCUUCCCUUUUCAUGGAGGGACUGAAAAUUCAACCAGUGCUAUGAAUUCUCUUGAGCUUCCACCCACUCCAAACAAUGUAGAGGUUGAGCAGAGAAACCAAGAUGUUGCGCAAGAAACUUGUCAAAACAAUGCAGAGGUUGAGGAGACCAACCAAGAUGUUGCACAACAAAUUUGUAAGCCACAGUGUAAUUUUUAGCCCUUUUACUCGCAAGAUUAGAUUGUUAAUUCUCCCAUCUAGCUGGUAAACAUUUCAUUGUAGAUUAGUAUGAGAAUUUGGUGUUACAAGUAACUUGUAGGUCAAGAUAAUAAGUUCUGCCAGAUAAUGUAAGUUUGAGUAUUCUCAUUACCUGUUUGUGGGAUAAUGUUUGGAUUUUUAUA